UUUGUGUCAUGAUGAAAAAAAGUCAUUCAGUUAUCCCUGUCUUAAUCAUUCUAUGUUGAUCUUUAUUAAUUAGACUCUGAACACUCU
rnacentral:snoRNA from 1 species